UUCUGACUUUGUAGGCACUCAGGCCCACUCUGGGGGGGGGGUUGUUGGUGACCUGUGAUGGGGCCCCUCAAGAGCCUUCCUGUAACCUCGAGUGACCCCAGGAUAGGAAAAGUAAGCACACAAGGUAAAAAGAAACACACCCUUCAUUUGAGUUAGAUCCAGGCCAGGCAACAAAAGUCCAGGAUCUCCGGGACACAAAGGGCCUGAGCUGAGCUGCCAGCAGAGGGCAGCAAACGGAUGCCAGGCAACAUGUCAAACAUCUACGUUUCAGAAAGAUAUUAUGAAGUCACUCUGGAUUCUGCAGCCUCCAGACUUAGAGGGUCUUUUUUGCCUUGUAGCCCUAGGUGGCUGUGAACUUGUGAUCUUCCUGCCUCAGUUUUCCAAGUGCUGGGAUUACAGAAAUGAAAAUGGCUGGCUCUGAUUGUUAUGCUCCAGCAGCAUCACGUGAUAUUGAUACCCCUCCUCCCCCCAUGGCUACUCCUGUGUUGUACAAACAGAGUCUAGUGAUGUCUCCUUUCUCUCUAGAAGCAGGGAAUUAGAAAUCUUUUAAGCGUAGGGGGAAAUACAGACAUAGGAAGAAAAGUUCCCAGGCACCGGGACUCUCCAGGGAGCACAGACCAUUGCAUGAAACGGAUCUGUGGGAAAUGUGAUGACCUCAGCCCUGUCCCUUGACCACAAACUGAGGAGCAAACCCCACCUUGAGGCACAUGGUCUGGCUUCUCCCUGUUUGUACUGGCUGGUUUGUGUGUCCACUUGAUACAAGUUAGAGUCACCAGAGAGGAAGAAGCCUCAGUUGAGGAAAUGCCUCCAUGAGAUCCAGCUGUAAGGCAUUUUCUCAAUUAGUGAUCAAGGAGGGAGGGCUCAGCUCAAGGUAGGUGGUGCUGUCCCUGAGCUGGUGGUCCUGGGUUCUAUAAGAAGGCUGGCUAAGCAAGCCAGGGGAAGCAAGCAAGGAAGCAACACCCCUCCAUGGUCUCUGUUUCAGCUCCUGCCUCUAGGUUCCUGCCCUGUUUGAGUUCCUGUCCUGACUUCCUUUGGCGAUGAACAGCAAUGUGGAAGUGUAAUCUGAAUAAACCCUUUCCUCCCCAG
rnacentral:lncRNA from 1 species